CGCCGGCCAGAUGUAUAAAUAUUUAAUCCUCUAAUAAAUUAACACAAAGGCGAAAAGGUCAGAUAACCCUAAUUCCGGCAAAUUCCUCUUUCCAAAAAUCAACAAAAAUUCAGACCCAUCGGAAGAAGAAAAAAAGAAUAGCAAUGGAGAAUUCAAACGAAUCUACGUACUACGAAAAAGUGGACGGCCUCGCGCGGUGGGUGGGUAUGAGCGUCGCGUCGGCGUUUUUCGCUUCCCUGGAGCGGUGCUCCUGCGUCAACCUCACCACCUUCGACACCGAAGACGACGACGAAGAGGCCAAGGAUCGUCCUCUGAUGCUCACAUCUUUCCCCUCCGUCAAUUCCACCGCCUCUUCUUCUUCCUAUGCGGGGAAUCAUAAUGUCAAUUUCAACAAUUCUUCCUCCGCUGUUGAAAAUCUACCCGUCUGAUUUGGAUCGUGAUGGUUCAUCCCUUGAUUAUCGGGCUUCUUGUUAACAAUGUGUAAUAUCGUUGAAGUCUGGAUUGCGGGCAUGUGGAAGAGACGUACAGGCGGUGUUUGUUCAUUUUCAUCGUUUUUUAUUCGAUUGUACUGUUAAUUGUUGUAUAUUUGAAAAGUAUUUACUGCUGUGUGGUUGACCGGCGUUUACUUGUGCUUAUUGAUGUUACUUUCUUUCUCCUGCCCGA